GUCAUCGUGGCCGAGUGGUUAAGGCGACAGACUUGAAAUCUGUUGGACUCUGCCCGCACAGUUUCGAAUCCUGUCGGCGACG
rnacentral:tRNA from 1 species